AACGCGAAGAACCUUACCAGGUCUUGACAUCCUCUGACAAUCCUAGAGAUAGGACUUUCCCCUUCGGGGGACAGAGUGACAGGUGGUGCAUGGUUGUCGUCAGCUCGUGUCGUGAGAUGUUGGGUUAAGUCCCGCAACGAGCGCAACCCUUGUCCUUAGUUGCCAGCAUUCAGUUGGGCACUCUAAGGAGACUGCCGGUGACAAACCGGAGGAAGGUGGGGAUGACGUCAAAUCAUCAUGCCCCUUAUGACCUGGGCUACACACGUGCUACAAUGGAUGGUACAAAGGGUUGCGAGACCGCGAGGUUUAGCCAAUCCCAUAAAACCAUUCUCAGUUCGGAUUGUAGGCUGCAACUCGCCUACAUGAAGCCGGAAUCGCUAGUAAUCGUGGAUCAGCAUGCCACGGUGAAUACGUUCCCGGGUCUUGUCCACCAAG
rnacentral:rRNA from 1 species